rnacentral:rRNA from 1 species
CCCGAGCCACUGUAUGGGGGUCCGACUAAGCCAUGCGAGUCAUGGGGCGCGCUCUGCGCGCACCGGCGGACGGCUCAGUAACACGUCGGUAACCUACCCUCGGGAGGGGGAUAACCCCGGGAAACUGGGGCUAAUCCCCCAUAGGCCUGAGGUACUGGAAGGUCCUCAGGCCGAAAGGGUCUUUGACCGCCCGAGGAUGGGCCGGCGGCCGAUUAGGUAGUUGGUGGGGUAACGGCCCACCAAGCCGAAGAUCGGUACGGGCCAUGAGAGUGGGAGCCCGGAGAUGGACACUGAGACACGGGUCCAGGCCCUACGGGGCGCAGCAGGCGCGAAACCUCCGCAAUGCGGGCAACCGCGACGGGGGGACCCCCAGUGCCGUGGCAUCGCCACGGCUUUUCCGGAGUGUAAAAAGCUCCGGGAAUAAGGGCUGGGCAAGGCCGGUGGCAGCCGCCGCGGUAAUACCGGCGGCCCGAGUGGUGGCCGCUAUUAUUGGGCCUAAAGCGUCCGUAGCCGGGCCCGUAAGUCCCUGGCGAAAUCCCACGGCUCAACCGUGGGGCUUGCUGGGGAUACUGCGGGCCUUGGGACCGGGAGAGGCCGGGGGUACCCCUGGGGUAGGGGUGAAAUCCUAUAAUCCCAGGGGGACCGCCAGUGGCGAAGGCGCCCGGCUGGAACGGGUCCGACGGUGAGGGACGAAGGCCAGGGGAGCGAACCGGAUUAGAUACCCGGGUAGUCCUGGCUGUAAAGGAUGCGGGCUAGGUGUCGGGUGAGCUUCGAGCUCGCCCGGUGCCGAAGGGAAGCCGUUAAGCCCGCCGCCUGGGGAGUACGGCCGCAAGGCUGAAACUUAAAGGAAUUGGCGGGGGAGCAUACAAGGGUGG